GUGGGCGUAGCUCAGUUGGUUAGAGCGCUAGGUUGUGGUCCUAGAGGCCGGGGGUUCGAAUCCCCUCGUUCACCCCA
rnacentral:tRNA from 3 species